rnacentral:tRNA from 1 species
UGCAACCCCAGGGAAGAGCA